UGAACUUAACAACAGCUGCUCAGUUAUGCUUACAACCUCAGUAAUGAGUUGAGGUCAACAUUUCCGAGGUUACUUUUGCCAGAAGGAUUCUAAGACAGUCUUGGUUGACCACUGGGGCGCUAGGAUGGCCACAUCGUUUUGGAUAUUGUAACAACUGCGUUUUCCUCGCGGACUCUGUUACAUGGAGACUGGGCUGCACAAGUGAAACAGGUGACCACUGAACCUUAAAGGAGAAACAAACAUAGUGCCCUAGGGCCUAGGGCUGAUCUCAAUAUUCAUAAACCAGGACAGGACAAUCAUCUUCUCUUGACAGAUGAGGAAGAUGGGGUUCUAACAGGCUAAGGAAAACUGCCCACAGUCACA